AGGGACGGCUCUAUAGCUCUGCAAAUUAACAAGGAAUGAAUAAGGUUGUAUUUGGACUUCAAAUAGUUAGCUGUGUGUGAAUAAAUUAAAUCAUUGGAAUUACUCCCAAAUCAAAUAAUCAUGGGACAGAAUUAUUAAUUAUUUGAUUAACAUAUUGGGGGUUAGAGAAUUAGAUUGUUAAGAAGUAUAAAAGUAAAAAGAAAAAGGAGAGCGAU
rnacentral:lncRNA from 1 species